rnacentral:misc_RNA from 1 species
GAUGAAGAACGUAGCGAAAUGCGAUAAGUAGUGUGAAUUGCAGAAUUCAGUGAAUCAUCGAAUCUUUGAACGCACAUUGCGCCCCUUGGUAUUCCAUGGGGCAUGCCUGUUCGAGCGUCAUUUGUACCUUCAAGCUUUGCUUGGUGUUGGGUGUUUGUCUCGCCUCUGCGUGUAGACUCGCCUCAAAACAAUUGGCAGCCGGCGUAUUGAUUUCGGAGCGCAGUACAUCUCGCGCUUUGCACUCAUAACGACGACGUCCAAAAGUACAUUUUUACACUCUUGACCUCGGAUCAGGUAGGGAUACCCGCUGAACUUAAGCAUAUCAAUAAGCGGAGGA